CCGCACCUUGGCCCUGGUAUAUCGCCAUCGCCUGGCACAGGUGCACAGUGGUUAUCCGAGCCAUCCAUCAGCACUAUUUUUUUUUUUCUAUUCUUUUCUAUCACUGGCUAGCCAAAGAUGACAGUAUAAAGGAUCCGUCUUUGUAGCUUAGUCUCUGAUCUUCCAUUGAUCUUGGCUCUGGCACAUAGUGCAACUACAAGGAGCAAUGAAUCCAGCUCCGGCUUUGGUCCUGGCACCAGCACAUGCUAAAAAAGGUUGAAAUAAUCAAGACUAUAACCUGCUUUACUGUGAUAAAAUAGGGCUGGAGGAUUGACUCAUCAGAGUUAUGUCUGACACUUCGUCUGCGGUGAUGUCCUUUAACUGCUACAAACGUGGAUUAUAGACUCCUAAUAAAAACUGUUGAAAGACCUUGGUAUCAGAGUUUUGAGAACUCGGGACUUACAUCCACAUGUUAAAUAUGAAUCAAUUAGCUGUGGAAUAUAAACUAUUUCUGAAGUGAGAUUGUGAAGUUUUAAUUGGAUUCAUAGAAAAUGUAGUAUGCUUGUGACAAAUUUGAAAGAUUAUAUAAUGCUAUUGGAAAGGAAAUUUGCAUUGUAUGGGAAAUGGGAAUUUAGAACGGUAAGGCGAAGCGGCCGAGAUAGCUCAGUUGGGAGAGCGUUAGACUGAAGAAAGGCCCAGAGAAAUCAGAGGAAAAAGCAGGACUCAUAGUCUAUAAUGAUUUCCAGCUACUUAAUCACAUAUACAAUGUCAAUGGGAGCAAGACUCCAGAGAUAAAACUGCCUGUUAGUUCAUCUGCACACUGUGCUUAUCAUCCUGCAACUUGAACGUGAGUGGCUUGCUGAAUUCUGUUGUGAAAAAAAACCUUGGCUUUGGAGAUGGAAAACUUAAAUCAGAAUCCUGCAUCUGCUACAAUUGAGCAGAGACACCAUGGGUCUUGAAGUUAGUGCAACUCCACCAUCUUAAGAAAUACCAAGAGAAGACAGUUUGUGAUCAGUACACUUUUUUUUUCUGUUAAGGGCAGUAAAGAUUGAUUAUUCUGUGAACUUAAGGUUUCCAAAGCACUUAACGGAUCUGUUUCAGAACACUAACACCGCACGGAUAUUUCUACAGAACUCUCCCCACUCUCCAGAUUAAGACUUCUCAGAAGACAGGGACUUUUUAUGCUCAUCUUUGUCUCAUUCUGCCUCGAAGGAGUUGCCAUCCAUACUGUACAAUAAAACCU